rnacentral:rRNA from 1 species
GUGUCAGCCGCCGCGGUAAUACAGAGGGUGCAAGCGUUAUCCGGAUUUAUUGGGCGUAAAGCGUUUCGUAGGUGGUUUUGUAAGUUAAACUUCAAAGACUAGGGCUUAACCCGAGGAAGGGGUUUAAUACUGCAAGACUUGAGAAUUUUAGGGGCAAUCGGAACUGUUGGUGUAGGGGUGAAAUCCGUUGAUAUCAACAGGAACGUCAAGGGCGUAGGCAGAUUGCUGGGAAAUUUCUGACACUGAGGAACGAAAGCUAGGGGAGCGAAAGGGAUUAGAAACCCCUGUAGUCC